rnacentral:lncRNA from 1 species
UCAUAAGAUUGCUAAACUUUUACUGCAAAAUGUUUCCAUUAAAGCCUUUUUGGGAAGACUAAAGCUUUUUUUUGUUAAUUCUACGUGUCACCCUAUAAAAAAGCGAUAUGCCAUCCAGAUAAAACCUGAUCUCUGAUCUAAAAUGCCAAUAUUAAACUCCUGUAUACUUACUUAAUUCUACAGAUACCUUUUACUGUAGUCCAAAUUCCAAACAAAAAGGCAAAACUUGACCUUCAAACCUUAUAGAGAUCUCAAUAUGGUUUUUCAUAUUUUUAACACUUGUGACACUUGGAGUUCUGAGGCAGGUAAACCUACAGAAGGCAGAGCUGCCUGGCCCUCCCAUGGACCAUGCUCAAAUGCAGCAGAAGACAUUGGGCAACAAAAUACCCCAUCCUGGUGUUCUUUGAGACCUUACUUCAGGGCUGUUGGACUGUCCUAGCCACCAAAGCAUGGUCUAACAUACGUGCAUUCACCAGUGAAGUUGUCCUGGCCAAAACACCUGGCACCAUCGUCUACCUGGGCAUCAACCUUCAUCCCAUUGACUCCCCUAGGCUCCAGUACAGCGCCCUCUGCUAGCAGGAAGUAGUUAAAGAGAGAAAUCUUCACCCCUUUUCAUAAUAAUAAUCAUAAGAUGGGAUAUGAAAGGGUUUUGGCCCAGACAGGACACUGUAGCGAGGAAAGCCUCAACCGGAAGCAGGAAGCUCCUAUCUCCCCCGCCCCUAGGAAUUUACCUUUGACGCCAUCUUCCGGCCCCUGGGAAUUUACCUGUGGCUCGAAACCUAGGACCAAUGGGCUACCUGUAUAUCCCUAAUGCCUGCCUUGGGUUCCACCCCAAACCGAGGCUAUUUACAUACCCCUACACCAUGUGUCUGCCGGAGAGAUCACCGGAUGCCAGUGGUGGGGGGUGCUGGUCAUCUCUCUCUGUGUUCUCAGAAUAAAGGCUGCUUUUUAUUUUAUACUUCUCAUCUCUUGGAAAUAUUUUUCAUCUUUUGGAAAUAAUCCUAGCAAAGGUAUAUGGUAUUGGCAUUAUUGUUUAAUGUAGAAAUUGUCUAAUUUCUUCUUAAUUUCAUCUAUGACCUGGUGGCUGUUCAGAAAGGUCUUACUUACUUUCCAUGUAUUUAUGGAGUUUUUGUGGUUUCUUUUGCCAUUAAUUUCCAGUUUCAAUGUACUAUGGUCUGAUAAUGUGCAUGGAAUAAUUUCAAGACCUUUGAAUUUACUUAAACGUGUUCUAUGAACUGGUAAUUGGUCUAUUUUGGAGAAUAUCUCAUGUGUACCUGAGAAUAAUGUGAAUUUUGAUGUUGGGCAGUGGAAUAUGUUGUGGCCUAGCUCUAACCAAUGCGCUUCCUUCCUGUUCUGUAUGCGCCAUUUCAAUAAAGAUUAAAAUUC